rnacentral:rRNA from 1 species
CCUACGGGUGACAGCAGUGAGGAAUAUUGGUCAAUGGGCGGAAGCCUGAACCAGCCAAGUAGCGUGCAGGAUGACGGCCCUACGGGUUGUAAACUGCUUUUAUACGGGACUAACGCGCCUUACGUGUAGGGCUUUGCAUGUACCUUAUGCAUAAGGACCGGCUAAUUCCGUGCCAGCAGCCGCGGUAAUCCGGAAGGUCCGGGCGUUAUCCGGCUUUAUUGGGUUAAAGGGGUGCGUAGGCGGACGGUCAAGUCAGAGGUAAACAUGCGGUGAUCAACGCCGUACAGCAGUUGAAACUGGCAGGCUUGAGUGGGCGAGAAGUAUGCGGAAUGCGUGGUGUAGCGGUGAAAGGCAUAGAUAUCACGAAGAACUCCGAUUGCGAAGGCAGCAUACCGGAGCCCGACUGACGCUGAGGCACGAAAGCGUGGGUAUCAAACAGGAUUAGAGACCCCUGUAGUC